UUAAAACACAACAACCCACAUCAAUACCCCCGAACACCCGAACUGAUGAACAUUAAAGCAUUUUUCCCCCUUAGUAUGGGAGACAGAAAAGGAACCAGGAGCCAUAGAACUAGUACCGCAAGGGAACGCUGAAAAAGAGAUGAAACAGGUCAGUAAAGUAGAGAGAAGCAGAGCUAAGACCUCGUACCUUUUGCAUCAUGAAUUAGCCAGUACAAGCAGGCAAGGGGCACCGAAGCCUGUCACCCCGAAACUGAGUGAGCUACUCCAGGACAGCCUAUUGUAGGGCACACCCGUCUCUGUGGCAAAAGAGUGGGAAGAUCCUUGAGUAGAAGUGACAAACUUACCGAACCCAGUAAUAGCUGGUUGUCUGAGAAAUGGAUAUGAGUUCAGCCGCACUACUUCUUUUAUCUAAGAUAAAAUAUACCCCUAUGACAACAAGAAGAAGAGCGAGUUAUUCGAAGGGGGUACAGCCCCUUUGAAACAGGAAACAACCUUAUAAGGAGGAUAAAGAUUAUGAUAUUUAAGGGACAGUGACUGAGUGGGCCUAAAAGCAGCCACCUCCGAAGAAAGCGUCAAAGCUCAACCACACCCUUACCCUAUUAUUCCAAUAAACCCAGUCCGAAGCCCCACACCUAUAACAGACCUUUCUACUAUAAGUAGAAGUGAACAUGCUAGUAUGAGUAAUAAGAGGCCCUACGAGCCUCUCCCAGCACACGCAUAAGUCAGCACGGACAACCCACCGAUAAUUAACGGACCCAAGAAGAGAGGGCAAUGACAGACAACAUACAAGCCAGAAAAGUAUUCACCCCCACCCCGUUGACCCCACACUGGUGUGCUUAAGGGAAAGACCAAAUGAAAGAGAAGGAACUCGGCAAAAUCUUAAGCCUCGCCUGUUUACCAAAAACAUCGCCUCUUGCAAAAUUAGAAUAAGAGGUCCAACCUGCCCAGUGACACUAUGUUCAACGGCCGCGGUAUUUUAACCGUGCUAAGGUAGCGCAAUCACUUGUCUUUUAAAUGAAGACCUGUAUGAAAGGUAUAACGAGGGCUUAACUGUCUCCUUUUUCCAGUCAAUGAAAUUGAUCCCCCCGUGCAGAAGCGGGGAUUCCUACAUAAGACGAGAAGACCCUGUGGAGCUUUAGACCCCGGAGUAGCUCAUGUUAAUAGACCUUGCUCAAGGAAACAACUAAAUGAGCCCUACCCCUGUGUCUUCGGUUGGGGUGACCAUGGGGUAAACACAACCCCCAUGUAGACAGGGAGCACUAGAAGGACACCACCACGGAACCACCACCCCCCUCCUCAAAACCAGGGCCCCCGCCCUAGUUAACGAAAGCUUCGACUUAAAAUGAUCCGGGUUAAACCGAUCAACGAACCAAGUUACCCCAGGGAUAACAGCGCCAUCCCCUUCAAAAGCCCAUAUCACCAAGGGGGUUUACGACCUCGAUGUUGGAUCAGGACAUCCUAAUGGUGCAGCCGCUAUUAAGGGUUCGUUUGUUCAACGAUUAAAGUCCUACGUGAUCUGAGUUCAGACCGGAGCAAUCCAGGUCAGUUUCUAUCUAUGAUUCGCGCUUUCUUCUAGUACGAAAGGACCGGAGAAAGGGGGCCCAUGCUUAAGGCACGCCCAACCCCCACUUGAUGAAGCCAACUAAACCGGGCAAGGGGGCGCGACCCCCUACCCUUAGAUUACAGUGU
rnacentral:rRNA from 1 species